rnacentral:misc_RNA from 1 species
CUGCCUGCCUCUGCCUGGGUAC